rnacentral:rRNA from 1 species
AUUGAACGCUGGCGGCAUGCCUUACACAUGCAAGUCGAACGGUAACAGGUCUUCGGAUGCUGACGAGUGGCGAACGGGUGAGUAAUACAUCGGAACGUGCCUAGUAGUGGGGGAUAACUACUCGAAAGAGUGGCUAAUACCGCAUGAGAUCUACGGAUGAAAGCAGGGGAUCGCAAGACCUUGUGCUACUAGAGCGGCCGAUGGCAGAUUAGGUAGUUGGUGGGAUAAAAGCUUACCAAGCCGACGAUCUGUAGCUGGUCUGAGAGGACGAUCAGCCACACUGGGACUAAGACACGGCCCAGAGUCCGACGGGAGGCGGCAGUGGGGAAUUUUGGACAAUGGGCGAAAGCCUGAUCCAGCAAUGCCGCGUGCAGGAUGAAGGCCUUCGGGUUGUAAACUGCUUUUGUACGGAACGAAAAGCCCCGGGUUAAUACCCUGGGGUCAUGACGGUACCGUAAGAAUAAGCACCGGCUAACUACGUGCCAGCCGCCGCCGUAA